rnacentral:rRNA from 1 species
AACGAACGCUGGCGGCAGGCUUAACACAUGCAAGUCGAGCGCCCAGCAAUGGGAGCGGCGGACGGGUGAGUAACACGUGGGAAUAUGCCUUUCGGUACGGAACAACUCAGGGAAACUUGAGCUAAUGCCGUAUACGCCCUUACGGGGAAAGAUUUAUCGCCGAAAGAUUAGCCCGCGUCUGAUUAGCUUGUUGGUGAGGUAACGGCUCACCAAGGCGACGAUCAGUAGCUGGUUUGAGAGAACGACCAGCCACACUGGGACUGAGACACGGCCCAGACUCCUACGGGAGGCAGCAGUGGGGAAUCUUGGACAAUGGGGGAAACCCUGAUCCAGCCAUGCCGCGUGAGUGAUGAAGGCCUUCGGGUUGUAAAACUCUUUCGGCGGGGACGAUAAUGACGGUACCCGCAGAAGAAGCUCCGGCUAACUUCGUGCCAGCCGCCGCGGUAAGAC